AGAAUGAACGUUGGCGGCGUGGAUUAGGCAUGCAAGUCGUACGGGCCGCAAGGCCAGUGGCGCAAGGGUGAGUAAUGCGACGGUAACCAACCCCAUGACUGGGUAUAGCCGCGGGAAACUGCGGGUAAUCCCCAGCGAUGUCACCGAGGGGCAUCCCCUGGUGACCAAAGCUCCGGCGUCGUGGGACGGGCCGUCGUGGUAUUAGGUAGUUGGCGGGGUAACGGCCCACCAAGCCUUCGAUGCCUACCGGGCGUGCGAGCGUGGCCCGGCACACUGGGACUGAGACACUGCCCAGACUCCUACGGGAGGCUGCAGUCGAGAAUCUUCGGCAAUGGGCGCAAGCCUGACCGAGCGACGCCGCGUGGAGGAUGAAGGCCUUCGGGUUGUAAACUCCUGUCGAGGGGGAAGAAGGACCGUAAGGUCUUGACUUAUCCCUGGAGGAAGCACGGGCUAAGUUCGCGCCAGCAGCCGC
rnacentral:rRNA from 1 species